GGGUUGGCACUCGCAUGGACGAAGUCUGACGGAGCAACGCCGCGUGAACGAUGAAGGCCUUCGGGUCGUAAAGUUCUGUUGUCAGAGAAGAACAAGUACCGGAGUAACUGCCGGUACCUUGACGGUACCUGACCAGAAAGCCACGGCUAACUACGUGCCAGCAGCCGCGGUAAUACGUAGGUGGCAAGCGUUGUCCGGAAUUAUUGGGCGUAAAGCGCGCGCAGGCGGUUCCUUAAGUCUGAUGUGAAAGCCCCCGGCUCAACCGGGGAGGGUCAUUGGAAACUGGGGAACUUGAGUGCAGAAGAGGAGAGCGGAAUUCCACGUGUAGCGGUGAAAUGCGUAGAGAUGUGGAGGAACACCAGUGGCGAAGGCGGCUCUCUGGUCUGUAACUGACGCUGAGGCGCGAAAGCGUGGGGAGCGAACAGGAUUAGAUACCCUGGUAGUCCACGCCGUAAACGAUGAGUGCUAAGUGUUAGAGGGUUUCCGCCCUUUAGUGCUGCAGCAAACGCAUUAAGCACUCCGCCUGGGGAGUACGGCCGCAAGGCUGAAACUCAAAGGAAUUGACGGGGGCCCGCACAAGCGGUGGAGCAUGUGGUUUAAUUCGAAGCAACGCGAAGAACCUUACCAGGUCUUGACAUCCUCUGACAACCCUAGAGAUAGGGCGUUCCCCUUCGGGGGACAGAGUGACAGGUGGUGCAUGGUUGUCGUCAGCUCGUGUCGUGAGAUGUUGGGUUAAGUCCCGCAACGAGCGCAACCCUUGAUCUUAGUUGCCAGCAUUCAGUUGGGCACUCUAAGGUGACUGCCGGUGACAAACCGGAGGAGGUGGGGAUGACGUCAAAUCAUCAUGCCCCUUAUGACCUGGCUACACACGUGCUACAUGGAUGGAACAAAGGGCCGCAAACCGCGAGGUCGAGCCAAUCCCAUAAAUCCA
rnacentral:rRNA from 1 species